rnacentral:rRNA from 1 species
GAUGAACGCUAGCGGGAAGGCUUAACACAUGCAAGUCGAGGGGCAGCAUAGGGUAGCAAUACUCUGAUGGCGACCGGCAAACGGGUGAGUAACGCGUAUGCAACCUACCCUGUACAGGGGGAUAACCCGGAGAAAUUCGGACUAAUAUCCCGUAAUAAUAUCCGGAGGCAUCUUUGGAUAUUUAAAGUUCCGACGGUACGGGAUGGGCAUGCGUAACAUUAGCUGGUUGGUAAGGUAACGGCUUACCAAGGCUAUGAUGUUUAGGGGUCCUGAGAGGGUGGUCCCCCACACUGGUACUGAGACACGGACCAGACUCCUACGGGAGGCAGCAGUGAGGAAUAUUGGUCAAUGGGCGCAAGCCUGAACCAGCCAUCCCGCGUGCAGGAAGACGGCCCUAUGGGUUGUAAACUGCUUUUCCAGGGAGAGAAACUUACGCACGUGUUGCGUGACUGACGGUACCCUGGGAAUAAGCAUCGGCUAACUCCGUG